CAUCUCUGUAAUAAGUGAAUGCCUCUUUUUCUCCAGGAGUUGUCGGAAUUAUUCGUAAUAAGAUAUUGGCUACAAUGGUAAAGGUCUUAUCAAUAAAAUUUCCAUUUAUCCUAGAUCUAGUCAUAGGUAUCCAUUCUAUAAUUUCCUUUUUUAUCGCGUGAUAAAAAAAUUCCCCAAAUAAAGGAAUUGUACAAUACAGUACGAAAUAAAGUAAAAAUGGACUUCUUAAUCAAAUUACUUUAUUCUACGGUAGGCCUUGAAGUAGAUUUUUUUUUUUCAAAAAAAAUACAAUUUUUUUCCAUUUUUUUUAGUUUCAAUUGAUUGUGUGCGCCUAUGCAAAUGGGAUAUAAAUGGCUUACUAUUCACUCUGUUUAGGGACAUAAUCAUUAUGUAGGAGAGAUGGCCGAGUGGUUCAAGGCGUAGCACUGGAACUGCUAUGUAGGCUUUUUGUUUACCGAGGGUUCAAAUCCCUCUCUUUCCGCACCCUUACCAAAUUCAUCAAUGUUACUGACCUCAAUGUUUGAAAUAAUAAUAGAUAACGUUAUUGCAACUUUGAUAUGCAUUCUCUAUUCCUAGUUUGUUUCUAUAAUAUAGAAAAUUGUGGAUCAAGUGGGUAAGGAAUAACAAUUUUCCUACACCCACUUCUAUACACGAAUGGGGAAAAAUACUCGGACCAAAAUUCUUGUCAUUUUGACGAGGUUUAAGUCUGACGAGAAUAAUAUUCUACAACCAGCAAUUCAUUAAUUUCCAAACCAACCCAUUUACUAUCUAUUAUUUGCUUGACUAAUCCUUUAUAUUGGAAUGGAAGAAUCAAAUGGGUUGGCAAUUGUUUGCGGGGGGCUGAUUCAAGAGAAUUUUGAAUCAGAGUUCUCGAUUUUUUGUCAUCCUUGGCUGUAAUAAUAUCUUCAGGUUUACAACGAUAACUUGGUAUAUCUACUAUACGACCAUUAACUAAAACAUGUCUGUGGUUAACUAAUUGACGGGCUUGAGGAAUAGUCGCAGCCAUACCCAAUCGAAAAAGUAUGUUAUCCAAACGCCAUUUCCAGUAACUGGAGUAAAACUUCACCCGUUGACCCUUUCGCUUUUCCAGCGAUACGAACGUAUUUAAGCAAUUGUCGUUCUGUAAGACCAUAAUGAAAACGCAAUUUUUGUUUUUCUUCUAAACGAAUAUGAUAUUGAGAUUUUUUACUGGAGCGCGAUUGUUCGCUUCCAACUGGAAGCUCUUUUCUGGUUAGUCCUGGUAAAGCCCCCAGACGCCGUAUUUUUUUGAAACGAGGCCCCCUGUAACGUGACAUAAACCCUCCUUUUUUAAAUGGAAAAUUUCAUAAAGAAAAAUUAAAACUAAACUAAAUGACAAAUAUUAUAAAUGAAGUGAAAUCUACUUAAAGUAUUGUACUAUUAAAGUAUUGUAUUAGAAAUAGUGUAGUAUAAAGAACAAUUGGAAAGAUUCUAUCAGUAUCCGAAUUGAAUUCUAUUAUAUUUCUAUAUAAAUAAAAAAAGGCGGUUAUUUUAUUGCUUUGUUCUACAGAAAAGGAACUCCCUAUUAUUUUCCUAAAAAAAAAAGAGAUUAUCCCUGAUUAUCCCUUAUGUGAAAAAAAAAAAAAAUAGAGAAAAAAGCCGGCUAUCGGAAUCGAACCGAUGACCAUCGCAUUACAAAUGCGAUGCACGAGAUGGAUGUUUGUUGUCCCAACCAUUCUAGUUAGUCCCGAUCCCGAUAAGAAGAAAGGAAGGAUUUUUUUACAAAGUUUUCUCCUGUUGUUGAUUCCCUAGCGUAGUGCUUCUUCCCCCAUGCCGCCUAUUGGUACUAGUGGAGUAGGAUUCACCUAACCCCAUAGGUAUAUAUAGGUAUAACCUUUCGCUUAAUACUACCUAAAAUUGAAGCAUAUUGAGGCUGCAUUAAUCGGGAAUACACGACAGAAGGGGUUAAUCGUUUUUUUUAUUUCCAAACUUCACCUUCAGCAAGCGUAGGUUUUUUUUUUCCAUUUUUUUUUUAUUUGUCUCUGAAGUCGGUAAAAAAAAAUAAUCAAAUCGCACCAUCUCUGUAAUAAGUGUAUGCCUCUUUUUCUCCAGAAGUUGUCGGAAUUAUUCGUAAUAAGAUAUUGGCUACAAUGGUAAAGGUCUUAUCAAUAAAAUUUCCAUUUAUCCUAGAUCUAGUCAUAGGUAUCCAUUCUAUAAUUUCAACCUUUCGCUUAAUACUACCUAAAAUUGAAGCAUAUUGAGGCUGCAUUAAUCGGGAAUACACGACAGAAGGGAUUAAUCGUUUUUUUUAUUUCCAAACUUCACCUUCAGCAAGCGUAGGUUUUUUUUUCCAUUUUUUUUUUAUUUGUCUCUGAAGUCGGUAAAAAAAAAAUAAUCAAAUCGCACCAUCUCUGUAAUAAGUGAAUGCCUCUUUUUCUCCAGAAGUUGUCGGAAUUAUUCGUAAUAAGAUAUUGGCUACAAUGGUAAAGGUCUUAUCAAUAAAAUUUCCAUAUAUCCUAGAUCUAGUCAUAGGUAUCCAUUCUAUAAUUUCAUUUUUUAUCGCGUGAUAAAAAAAUUCCCCAAACAAAGGAAUUGUACAAUACAGUACGAAAUAACGUAAAAAUGGACUUCUUAAUCAAAUUUCUUUAUUCUACGGUAGGCCUUGAAGUAGAUUUUUUUUUUUUUUUUUCAAAAAAAAAAACAAAUUUUUUCCAUUUUUUUUAGUUUCAAUUGAUUGUGUGCGCCUACGCAAAUGGGAUAUAAAUGGCUCAAUAAAUGGCUCACUAUUCACUCGGUUUAGGGACAUAAUCAUUAUGUAGGAGAGAUGGCCGAGUGGUUCAAGGCGUAGCAUUGGAACUGCUAUGUAGGCUUUUUGUUUACCGAGGGUUCGAAUCCCUCUCUUCCCGCACCCUUACCAAAUUCAUCAAUGUUACUGACCUCAAUGUUUGAAAUAAUAAUAGAUAACAUUAUUGCAACUUUGAUAUGCAUUCUCUAUUCCUAAUUUGUUUCUGUAAUUAAUAUAGAAAAUUGUUGAUCAAGUGGGUAAGGAAUAACACUUUUCCUACACCCACUUCUAUACACGAAUGGGGAAAAAUACUCGGAUCAAAAUUCUUGUUAUUUUAACGAGGUUUAAGUCUGACGAGAAUAAUAUUCUACAACCUGCAAUUCAUUAAUUUCCAAACCAACCCAUUUACUAUCUAUUAUUUGCUUGACUAAUCCUUUAUAUUGGAAUGGAAGAAUCAAAUGGGUUGGCAAUUGUUUGCGGGGGGCUGAUUCAAGAGAAUUUUGAAUCGGAGUUCUCGAUUUUUUGUCAUCCUUGGCUGUAAUAAUAUCUUCAGGUUUACAACGAUAACUUGGUAUAUCUACUAUACGACCAUUAACUAAAACAUGUCUGUGGUUAACUAAUUGACGGGCUUGAGGAACCCACUUCUAUACACGAAUGGGGAAAAAUACUCGGAUCAAAAUUCUUGUUAUUUUAACGAGGUUUAAGUCUGACGAGAAUAAUAUUCUACAACCAGCAAUUCAUUAAUUUCCAAACCAACCCAUUUGCUAUCUAUUAUUUGCUUGACUAAUCCUUUAUAUUGGAAUGGAAGAAUCAAAUGGGUUGGCAAUUGUUUGCGGGGGGCUGAUUCAAGAGAAUUUUGAAUCAGAGUUCUCGAUUUUUUGUCAUCCUUGGCCGUAAUAAUAUCUUCAGGUUUACAACGAUAACUUGGUAUAUCUACUAUACGACCAUUAACUAAAACAUGUCUGUGGUUAACUAAUUGACGGGCUUGAGGAAUAGUCGCAGCCAUACCCAAUCGAAAAAGAAUGUUAUCCAAACGCAUUUCCAGUAACUGGAGUAAAACUUCACCCGUUGACCCUUUCGCUUUUCCAGCGAUACGAACGUAUUUAAGCAAUUGUCGUUCUGUAAGACCAUAAUGAAAACGCAAUUUUUGUUCUUCUUCUAAACGAAUACGAUAUUGAGAUUUUUUACUGGAGCGCGAUUGUUCGCUUCCAACUGGAAGCUCUUUUCUGGUUAGUCCUGGUAAAGCCCCCAGACGCCGUAUUUUUUUGAAACGAGGCCCCAAGACCAUAAUGAAAACGCAAUUUUUGUUUUUCUUCUAAACGAAUACGAUAUUGAGAUUUUUUACUGGAGCGCGAUUGUUCGCUUCCAACUGGAAGCUCUUUUCUGGUUAGUCCUGGUAAAGCCCCCA
rnacentral:lncRNA from 1 species